UACGGAGGGUGCAAGCGUUAUCCGGAUUCACUGGGUUUAAAGGGUGCGUCGGUGGGUUGGUAAGUCAGUGGUGAAAUCCCCGAGCUUAACUUGGGAACUGCCAUUGAUACUAUCAGUCUUGAAUAUUGUGGAGGUCAGCGGAAUAUGUCAUGUAGCGGUGAAAUGCUUAGAUAUGACAUAGAACACCAAUUGCGAAGGCAGCUGGCUACGCAUAUAUUGACACUGAGGCACGAAAGCGUGGGGAUCAAACAGG
rnacentral:rRNA from 1 species